rnacentral:rRNA from 1 species
AUUGAACGCUGGCGGCAUGCCUUACACAUGCAAGUCGGACGAGGUCCAAGGGAGCUUGCUCCCUGAAGACCUAGUGGCGAACGGGUGAGUAACACGUGAGAAACCUGCCCUCGAGUGGGGAAUAACCCGGGGAAACCCGGGCUAAUACCGCAUACGCUCCUCUGGUCGCAUGGCCGGAGGAGGAAAGUUUUUCGCUCAAGGAGGGUCUCGCGGCCUAUCAGCUUGUUGGCGGGGUAACGGCCCACCAAGGCUACGACGGGUAGCUGGUUUGAGAGAACGAUCAGCCACACUGGGACUGAGACACGGCCCAGACUCCUACGGGAGGCAGCAGUGGGGAAUCUUGCGCAAUGGGCGAAAGCCUGACGCAGCAACGCCGCGUGCGGGAUGACGGCCUUCGUGGUUGUAAACCGCUUUCAGCAGGGACGAAAAUGACGGUACCUGCAGAAGAAGCUCCGGCUAACUACGUGCCAGCCGCCGCAGUAA